GAACUGAUUGUAUACUGGUUAGUACAUUGCGUUGUUGCCGCAAUAACCCAGGUUCGAAUCCUGGUCAUGUCA
rnacentral:tRNA from 1 species